rnacentral:rRNA from 1 species
ACGUCUCUACACUACAUACGUGGAGUACCAUGUGUAUCCCAAAACUAAACGAAAGGAACUGACGUCUUCUACAAUAAUACUACUCGGUCCAGUACCAUGUGUCCGAUUGAUUUGUUCGAAGACAACAAAAUAACAACCAGCAAGGGCAGGUGACGACGGUUGUCAGUUAAAAGACGUCCCAAAAAUAAAGAAAGAGAAGGUAGCUUUCGAGGAAAAACGGUGACUAAUUAAUCAACUACGUACACUUCUAAAAGCUAUGAUCCUCUUGGUUCAAAUUUGUACACGUUAAGGUAGAUAGAUCGUAGUUACAGCCCACUCCAAUCUGAUGUUCUUUCUGAUCUAUAAUUCGAACAAGUAAGAUAGAUGUGGAAAACUUAGACUUCAGUGAUGACAACAUUUAUUACGAUGAACUCAUGGACCAACUAACCAAAACAAAUAACACCGUAACUCAUCGGAUGAUGUAAUCACCACAGUCGAUAUAAAACAUUCAAACAAUAGCUAAGUUAAAUCAAUAAACACACACACUAACUUUUUAUUACCAAAUGUAUACUUAACGAUGUCAAAAUAUAUUAUGAGAAACUAGACACGACGAUCCAGACGAUGACGCACGUACUGUUGUACUCCACAGCGUUAGCCACGCCAUACGACCACUAUCUACAAGAGCUAACACUACGGGUUCGGACAGACGGCGUUAACACACAAGCAAUGACGACUCCAAUCUUUUUCGUAUGUAGUUAAAAAGAGGACGUUAACAUACCAGCAAAGACGAAAUCAAAUCUUUUCGUAUUUUGACUCAAUAAAAACGGAAACCGUCUGUCAGUAGGAUGAAGCAUCAUUAGAACACGGAAAGCAUAAACGUAUGAUUAGUGCUCGGAAAGGAAGUAUUACGAUUUAAAACUUAACGAAACCGAGAUAUUAAACAAACUUGACUAGUAAAUUCUUAAAGUCUAUUCGCGUAGGUCUAGAAAACUGGGAAGGUGCUUUUCCACAUUGUACCAUUUAAACAGCGUUGUUCGUCGUACCGUAAGAACUAUCGAAAAGAGGGAUAAUACUGAACGUAGAAAGAUGGGACGGGGUUUAAUUUAAACUAACCCUGACAAACUAACUUACAGUUUAUUUCUAGUUGAAAUAGAGACUAGCUAAGUACCUUUAUCUUCGACUUAUUAUAAGACUAAUAAUGAACGUACGAUAUAAGUGACAAGAACCAAAUUGUUGAACGUUCACAAAGAAAAUUAGGCGUCUUUUUCCUGAGUGCCCACCUGUAGACGAUAUUUAAUGGAUCCGGACCAGUAGACGCACUCAACGUAGACAGUAAAAAGAAGGUUCCAUCUUGUAAUCAAAAUUAAUUUGUUCAUCACAAGAGGUGUCAAACUACCCUUGUGAAACUGAAAGACAUUGGGGAUCUAAACCAUAAAGGACUACUAACGAACGCCAAGAAGAAUGAAAGACCAUAUUUAUCUCUUUUUACUCCUAUAACAUUAAUAAAAUCUUACAAGUUCUAAAUCCACAGGUAUGACACGAUUGAUACCAGACUUAACAAAACCCCUUAGUACUACAGUACAGCACUAAUGUGUUAAGGUUCGACACCAAGUCUUCGUGUGAAGCGAUUUUAUGUACGUUAGCAAAAAAACCCAAAAGAAGAGUGUUAUAUAUAUGCAUUUAGUACAUUAAACGUUGGAACCAUUCACGUGGAGCUCGACCGACUUUGUACGGACAAGGUUAGUACUUGCCUGUACUUCCGUCGGCCACCCUAAAUGAUAACGCAGAGCUGGAUGAGCCUCGUCCUCUCCGGUCCGACACCUUCCCCUCGGAACCGCGUCACCAUUUCGACGACGGAACACUGGUACUCCAGUGCCCAAGUUCAGGACCUUUGUCGGAGAACGUCUUUACAUUCCUUUCCGACGCAUGUUAUCUGGGUUUCACCAGCCUGGGAAGGGGUCUGGGACGCGUUCGCCCUCGAUGUACGUGACCCCGACGGGAAAAAUCCUCUCCGGUCCGACACCGUCGGCGCCAGCACCGCAGCACGUGCACCGUAGCUGCGUCCACUCUUAUGUAGAUACCAUCAGAGCACCCGGCUCGCAGUUCCACUACCAUCGGCUGGGAGGUGCGGGGGAGAUCCCUACCCUUCACCGCCCGUCUCAUGGAGGGGGCGCGUACAGUCCAACGACUAGGUGGGGAUUAAGGUAAUAUGUGACGAUGUAGAAUAGACAGUAGAUGAGUGUUGUAACGUUCUACACCGUACAGGAUUCUGCUACUCUAAUGUUUCUAACUCCACUGUCUUAGAUCGACACAGUACCCGUUCGGCCAACCGUGGUAACACUGUACUGUAGUCAACACACGCAAUUUUAGUGCUUGCUGCCGCGAACGAAAGUAUUGGAUUAUAUGAAGAGGGUGUACCUUUAAUAUAUUCAUACCAACAAAUAUUGACAUACGUGACCUGUACACAAGAGAGAGUCAUUACACGUACAAACGAGGUAAUGAGUAAAUGGGUAAGACCAUUAAAAAAGAGACUCAAAAAUCAGGUGUUUGGUUACAAAUCAGAGACCUUCUUUCAGUUCCAUAAUACUGCACACACACACAGAUAUAUAUUUGUUUCUCUAUAUAUACAGAGUAUAGGAUAUCUAAAACCAGACGGAAAAAGAAACGAAUGCCUCUACGUGGACUAAUCAAACAAAGUGGACAAACUAUUUAUCAUAAAAAGUGUUAUAUUAAAAUAAAGUGCCACAGAUGAGUUGCUUAACGAACACUCACACACAAAAGUGUUUACCACGUCUUAUUUGAGGGUUGAUUUAGCAACCUAUACAUAUAUUAAACGUCUCAACGUUUGUGAAAGUUAAAGUUGACACACCACUAGUCCUGUAAGACACAACGAACCUGUUGGCUCGAUUCUGCCGCUACGGUGGUGGAUGAACAUAGACAUGUCCUGGAGGCCACUAAUAAAGAUACUCAAGGAUUUAUAUAUAGGAGACGAGAAGUUUACCAUCACAAACUCCAAAAGUAAAGAGGGGGAAGAUCAAGACGACUCGUGGAAGUUAAGGGGAAAGGGGUCGAGCUUCCUUAACCGCGGAGGCAAUCACUGGGGCUCAUCACUACGUUACUACAUAACAAACUAGAAGAGGUUUCUAAAAGUUUAUCAAUAUGAAACUAAGUCUCGAGCAACACAAAAUGACAUAUACGUCAAACAAGAAUACUUAAAGAGGCUCAUCCAUCUAGGAAAUCCCAAUGAUUGAAUGACACUUGUUUACAAAACAGAACAAGCACAUCAAAGGUUUUUACUUCUUCGAACAGCAAGUUGGCUACUGUUUUGUGGAUCUCAUGCACGUUUUUAAUGAUGAAGGAGUAAAUGUCGUUUGAGUAACUAUGCUAUUUCCGUUUUAAAACCCACCGUUCCAUAUACUAAUCUAGUACACAUUAGAAGAUCUACGUAAAAAGAUAAGAAGGUAACACAAGAAAUCUGUACGGAGAAAAACAAUAAAAUGUAGUCAAUUGACUUCAAGUAUAAUAAGGAAAUAGACUAACAUCGAAGUUUCAAACUAAUGUCGUCUCAGUAACUAUGUUGUAUGUGUCAAACACUUAAAUGGAUGAUGAUGCUCAAUGCAGUAUAUCGUUACAAAAGAACGGAUCUUUUUAUAAUGUACUUUCCGGAUUACAGAACACUUACACAUAUCAUCGAUGCUCAUCCACCAGUUUGACAUGUGGAAAUUUCGUACUUAUUCCACGAUCGAAUACACGACGUCAACGAAACGUAACAAGUCUACGUUACACAAAAGCGAGUCGCCCUCGUGAAGAAGACUAAUAAAUAUUAAAAAUCAAACGAAGAAUAUUAAAAUUCUGUUAAAAACGCUGAACCUUACAUAUCGUAGGGGGAAAAGAGUGACCUUUACUGUACAUUCUUGUUUGGUCAAGGUCAAGACCGUAUCAAGACUACCAACUUCACAUACAGAUAUACUAAAUCAUAUACGUACCCUCAUGGGCGAUUUGCUACUUCGUAUAACACAGCACAAUCGAGGUAGAUCGAAAUAAUAGAACUUAAGACAUAGAUCUAAAACAUACAACAUAAGGGAAAGUGGCGCAGAUGUAUGAACUACUUCUAAAAAAGACUAACGUUUCAUACACGUUCAGUCAUCACUUGUGAGAUAUAGCAACAAGGUCUUUUCGUUCUAAGUCGUUAAAGGCGUUGUAAAGUACAGGCAAGGUACAUCAUCAAAAACGCCUUAAUAUAACUACUAAAGGAAAAUGGAAGUAUAAACGAAUCAAAAGAAUCGUUUGUGUUUUUCGAAACGCAGAACUUCGUAACUAUCUUCGCUUGUAUUAAGUACUAUGUUCGGAUUAUGAGACUUUUAUAAAAAUGCCAAGUGAUAAGGAUACUCCCCUCACUCACCUCUGUCGGUACUCACCGAGUUGUACAGCACGUCGCCGGCGGAUACUCCCCUCACUCACCUCUGCGCGUUUAUACACACCACCUCCCCGUUGCCUUCGAACUUGCCUUCUAAGCAGCGGUUGUAGCUUCUUUAGAUACCGGACUAGCUGGGAUUUCGAGGACGUACCUGUACUUCCACUGGCCCCCGUCUAACGGCUGUAAACGGUGUGAUACCCGUUAGAUACACUACUAGACGAGAGGCGUUAGCUUCGGUCCUUACUCGCCGUUCUAGAGAAGCCCUUACCGACUACUCCUUCUUAACUGACGCCCCCUUACCACCUAGAUCCACCUCAAGUGAAAUCGGUCACUCCCUGCUCGAAAUCAACACAUCCCCUUCCCUUCGGUGUACGUACUCAGUCUGUAUUAUUUAGCCGAGCUUUUACUGAGACAAUCAGGUCUUAGAGCAGAACCUGCUGGGUAUACCACGAGACUGUAAGCUAGGCCACACUUUCACGGAGUGUAUCAGUACAAAGUACCUGAAGUCUACACCCGGUAUAAGUGACAAAUUUUCUUCGUAUGUAUCUAAUAAUCACCGGAUACACACAACCCGACAUUUAGGGCCCCGUUGAACUACCCUCCCUAUUGCUCGUGGGUACACGAGGUUGUCUAUUAUC